UACGUAGGGUGCGAGCGUUGUCCGGAAUUAUUGGGCGUAAAGAGCUCGUAGGCGGCUUGUCGCGUCGACUGUGAAAACUCGGGGCUCAACUCCGAGCUUGCAGUCGAUACGGGCAGGCUAGAGUUCGGUAGGGGGGACUGGAAUUCCUGGAGUAGCGGUGAAAUGCGCAGAUAUCAGGAGGAACACCGAUGGCGAAGGCGGGUCUCUGGGCCGAUACUGACGCUGAGGAGCGAAAGCGUGGGGAGCGAACAGG
rnacentral:rRNA from 1 species